rnacentral:rRNA from 1 species
GACGAACGCUGGCGGCGUGCUUAACACAUGCAAGUCGAACGGAAAGGCCCCUUUGGGGGUACUCGAGUGGCGAACGGGUGAGUAACACGUGAGUAACCUGCCCUUGACUUCGGGAUAACUUCAGGAAACUGGGGCUAAUACCGGAUAGGAAUCCUUGCUGCAUGGUGGGGGUUGGAAAGCUUCGGCGGUUUUGGAUGGACUCGCGGCUUAUCAGCUUGUUGGUGGGGUAGUGGCUUACCAAGGCUUUGACGGGUAGCCGGCCUGAGAGGGCGACCGGCCACAUUGGGACUGAGAUACGGCCCAGACUCCUACGGGAGGCAGCAGUGGGGAAUAUUGCACAAUGGGCGGGAGCCUGAUGCAGCAACGCCGCGUGCGGGAUGACGGCCUUCGGGUUGUAAACCGCUUUCAGCAGGGGCGAAGCUUGUGGUGACGGUACCUGCAGAAGAAGCACCGGCUAACUACGUG